GAUGAAGAACGUAGCGAAAUGCGAUAAGUAAUGUGAAUCGCAGAAUUCAGUGAAUCAUCGAAUCUUUGAACGCACAUUGCGCCCCCUGGUAUUCCGGGGGGCAUGCCUGUUCGAGCGUCAUUUCAACCCUCAAGCUCUGCUUGGUAUUGGGCGUCGCCGGGGAGUCUCCCCGGCGUGCCUCAAAGCCAUCGGCGGUGGUGCCUUUCUCUAAGCGUGGUAGAAUUUUUAUUCGCUUCUGAGUUGGGCUUCGCCUGCCGGACAAACCGGGCCCUCGCGGCCCACCUUCUCAGGUUGACCUCGGAUCAGGUAGGGAUACCCGCUGAACUUAAGCAUAUCAAUAAGCGGAGGA
rnacentral:misc_RNA from 1 species